ensembl:snRNA U6 U6 spliceosomal RNA
GUACUCACUUGGCAGCACAUCAGCUAAAAUUGGAAGCAAAUAGAGAAAAUUGGCAUGGCACCUGCACAAGGUGACAUGCAAAUUCUACAUUAUAGAAAAAUUGUA